rnacentral:rRNA from 1 species
GAUGAACGCUAGCGGCAGGCUUAAUACAUGCAAGUCGAGGGACAGCACAGGUAGCAAUACUGGGUGGUAACCGGCAAACGGGUGCGGAACACGUACACAACCUUCCUUUAAGUGGGGGAUAGCCCAGAGAAAUCUGGAUUAAUACCCCGUAAUAUAGUUGAAUGGCAUCAUCUGAUUAUUAUAGCUACGGCGCUUAAUGAUGGGUGUGCGGCUGAUUAGAUAGUUGGCGGGAUAACGGCCCACCAAGUCUACGAUCAGUAGCUGAUGUGAGAGCAUGAUCAGCCACACGGGCACUGAGACACGGGCCCGACUCCUACGGGAGGCAGCAGUAAGGAAUAUUGGUCAAUGGACGCAAGUCUGAACCAGCCAUGCCGCGUGAAGGAUUAAGGUCCUCUGGAUUGUAAACUUCUUUUAUUUGGGACGAAAAAGGGCCUUUCUAGGUCAACUGACGGUACCAGAUGAAUAAGCACCGGCUAACUCCGUGCCAGCCGCCGCCGUAAGAC